GCUGCUUGGGUCUGUGGUUGCAAGGCCAUGCCAGAUACGGGCAAAGGGCUCCACGUAAGCUGAUCCGCAAGGCGGCAGUGAUCAUGGCGUAUCUUAGAUGUAAGUCCUCCGGAAAAUCCGGGUAAAGGCGAGUGUGGGGGCAAAGACCAGGUCAGCCGGGCAGC
rnacentral:ncRNA from 12 species